GCAGGACAAGGAGGCUGAUUUCACAUGAGGAUCACGAAAUUGGAGGGUUGAAGUCUCGAUUAUGUCUUCUUUGCUUGAUUCUAAGGCUCUAGUGGCAUAACGUUUGGAUGGCAACGGGUCAAACGGGUGAUAAAGCAACAACAUUCCUAAGGGCAAAGGUGAGUGACUCGAGUAUGUUUGGAGUCGCAUUGAUUUAAAUAGUCUUAUUGUUGGCUUAAAUUUCUUAUAGUUAAGGUGGUUUAAUGAAACUUAUUGAAUAUGGUUUAACUUAACAAUAACGUAUUGUUUUAGCGAUGUUUUGGGGGUUUUAAACCAUCAAGAAAGAGUACACAAUGUUAAUGGGUCGAAAUACCCAAAUGCUGAAAAUUCAGCUUAUUUCCAGAUUUUUGCUAGUCUUUAAAAAUUCAUAGAAAAUCAACCGAAUGUCCGUUUGGGGCGUAUUUUAUAUCCACGGAAAGGUCUCGGAGUCACCGUUAAUAAGAAUUUUCGUUUGAAGUGAAGUACUCACUAUAAAUAUGGGAAAAUUCUAAAUUACUACAGCUGCAUAAAGCUGAGUGAAAAACAUAAGUUUUAUAGUUCUUGCAUAAUCUUAGGGAAUUUAUAAGGAACCAAUGGGAUGUGAUUAUGUUGUUUUAAACCUCUAUGUAGCUAUAUAUAUUACAUGAGUUGAAGUGAGUGAUUCCUUGAAUAUGGAUGUGUAUGAUAAAUUAAAAAGUCAUGGGUGUUAUAACCUGCAUGUGCAAAAACAUGUGUUCAUUUAGUAGUUCUUAUGAAUAAAUGAUAUACUUGUGUCAUAAAAACUAUAUAACGUAUUGGAGUAUGUUAUGAAUACAUGUAUGAAUUAUUAAGAGUAUGUUAGAUAAUAAUGAUUGUUGAUAAUCGUAUAUAUUGUCUAAUGAAUUACAACAUAGAUAUGUGGCAGUUUACCAUUUUAUUUAUAUUGACCGAAUCAAUUUGAUAAUGGUUUACUUUGAAGUUUCCUUGAUUCUAUAUUAGCAGGGAUAUAAUGAAGUGGCAUCCAUAUUAGAAUGGAGAAAGUCACAAAAUGCGUGACUCGAGAUAAUGAAGUGGUGGCUCGAUAUUGUUUCGUUGGGCAUUAUGAGCAUUGAAUACUCCGUUAUGUUAUGUUUGGUACAAAAUCAUAUUAUGAGUCCUCACUUAACAAAAGCUAAUAUUUUGGUGUUUUCAAUGUAGGUGAUAAGUCAUGAAAAUCAACGGGGUGACUUGAACCAGAAUCAUGAAAGAAGAAAACAUCUCACAAGUCAUUCACCAAUAAUCCGGUUCAAUCUAUAUAUUAGUCAUAAUUAUGCGUACAGUAGGAAUAUAUAAUUUCUCGGUUGAGGUUAAUAAUAUGGUAAUGUUAUAUGACAGAUUCGGGUGGUAGGAAGGCGAAAGUGAUCAAGUUUUUAAAGCGGGUCAACGAUGUGAAGAUUUAGUGACGCCUUGUUCACUAAGUAAUAUGGGUUUUCUUAUUGGGUCAAAUUGACUUAGUUAUUUGCAUUUUAGAGUUUAACUUCAAUGUUUAUUUUAGCCAAGUGCUAGCAUGUCAACGUAGUAGUAGGUUAUAUUUGUUUUAUAAAAACCUUGGUAAAUAAGCAGGUAUUGUU
rnacentral:lncRNA from 1 species